CUACGGGCUGCUCCAGUGGGGAAUAUUGCACAAUGGAGGAAACUCUGAUGCAGCAACGCCGCGUGGAGGAUGACACUUUUCGGAGCGUAAACUCCUUUUAUAUAGGAAGAAGAUGACGGUACUAUAUGAAUAAGCGCCGGCUAACUCCGGGCCAGCAGCCGCGGUAAUACGGAGGGCGCAAGCGUUACUCGGAAUCACUGGGCGUAAAGAGCGUGUAGGCGGAUUAAAAAGUCAGAAGUGAAAUCCUAUAGCUCAACUAUAGAACUGCUUCUGAAACUCUUAAUCUAGAAUAUGGGAGAGGUAGAUGGAAUUUCUGGUGUAGGGGUAAAAUCCGUAGAGAUCAGAAGGAAUACCGAUUGCGAAGGCGAUCUACUAGAACAUUAUUGACGCUGAGACGCGAAAGCGUGGGGAGCAAACAGGAUUAGAUACCCGGGUAGUC
rnacentral:rRNA from 1 species